AAAGCUUGUCUUUUUCACCAACAGAAGUUGGUUCAAUCCAAGAUAUUAUCUCACCACCUUGUCUCCCUAAUAUCCUGGGACCAACAUGUCUACAGCAACACUGCAAAUCUCUUAUCUCUGGCAUCUCUCAUGAGGAACACUGCCCCACCUGCAAGAGAUAAGUCUGUUUGUUGUUGGUUCAUGUGACUGUAUGGCAUUUUAUCUUUUGUGUUCUCUCUCUCUCUCUUCUGGCUGCACUAACAUUUUUUCCCUAAUUCUUGAGUUUCCCCUCCCAGAAUUCAGAUGAGUAUUAUUCAGGUCAGAGCUCAUCAAGGAACAGGUCCCUCUGGUCCCCAAUACUUGUGUCACAUGUGGCAAUGACCCCACAAGCAUUUUACUGGUUGAACAAGAAACAGGAAGGACAGGUGGUUGCAGGUGCUCACUUGCUAAUAAGCCUGAGAUUUAGGGUUGUUCUGGGGGGCAGAUAAUUUAGCCUAGUAUUUCUAAACAUCUGGAUGCUAUUCAUUAUAACAUUCCUUUCUGUUUUUCUCUUGCAGGUAGAUGCUGGGCAUGUGGGAAUUGCUACUAGGGCAUUUGCCUCUGGGACCUUUCAACCAUGGCUCACAUUAAAGUGAGAGAAGAUUUCUUUGGAGUUCAUUGUAUUAAAAGGGCAAAAGUUUCGUAUUAUUGUGGCUUUUUUAGCAGGGAAGACAUAACUAAUGUAAACCCUGGGAAGUGUUAUGAGCAUCAAAGGACUAUUUUAAACAAUGGGCCAGACAAGAAUAAACAUUUGAUUGAGUGGAAUACCAAGGAAAUACUUGAGAGGAAGGGAAUGCCAAUUUCAACUUCUUGACCCAACCUUCUGCCCUAAGAAAGCCAUUUUUUAUGAAUUACCUAUUCCCAGAUCAAAAGGUCCAAGCUGUAUAAAGGAGGGACUAAACCUUUCUAUCAGUGUUCUUUUUCUGAGCAAAAGGUCUUAUAAAUUUGUAACCACAGAAAAUCCUCUGUGAGGGAUCUGAAGGAUUGUUCACCUGCCAGACCCAUUGGUGGAGUUGGGGUAACCUCUGCUAAGCUUAUUAGCAUGUGUGUAGGUUCUUCUAUUGUUUUUACUUUAAAAAUAAAUAUGCUUGCUUAGACA